rnacentral:rRNA from 1 species
AUUGAACGCUGGCGGCAUGCCUUACACAUGCAAGUCGAACGGCAGCACGGGAGCAAUCCUGGUGGCGAGUGGCGAACGGGUGAGUAAUGUAUCGGAACGUGCCCAGUCGUGGGAGAUAACGUAGCGAAAGCUACGCUAAUACCGCAUACGAUCUAUGGAUGAAAGCGGGGGAUCGCAAGACCUCGCGCGAUUGGAGCGGCCGAUAUCAGAUUAGGUAGUUGGUGGGGUAAAGGCUCACCAAGCCGACGAGCUGUAGCUGGUCUGAGAGGACGACCAGCCACACUGGGACUGAGACACGGCCCAGACUCCUACGGGAGGCAGCAGUGGGGAAUUUUGGACAAUGGGCGCAAGCCUGAUCCAGCAAUGCCGCGUGCAGGAUGAGGGCCUUCGGGUUGUAAACUGCUUUUGUACGGAACGAAACGGCGAGCUCUAAUACAGUUUGCUAAUGACGGUACCGUAAGAAUAAGCACCGGCUAACUACGUGCCAGCAGCCGCAGUAA